AGGAGCUAUUCUCGGAUUUCACCACUUGUUGACAGUACUGGCAGCAGGUUUACAGCUUUUAUUGUGAUGUUUCUGUGGUUUUCUUUUGUCCAUUAGGAGGGUGGGUAAAAAUAACGUGCAGCAGUAGUUGGAGUAAUUUGCGGACGGCAGGAAUUCAGUGGGUACUUGUUGCGAGGCGUACGGCGACGGCAGCGUCCUGUCAAAUAGUAAUGCGCACAGCCUUCAGUCGUCAGACAGGGGAGUAACCAGACUAAUCCGUCAGGCAAACAACUCGGACGACUAACCUUUUCAUUUAUCAUCUGUGUUGAUAUUUAAUAAUCGUGAAACGUGCUUUACCUUUUCUCGGGAAGCCAAUUGUAAGAUCCCGAUUUUUUUUUUUUUUUUUUUUGGUGGGUCACAUGGCUUUGGAGAAUUCAAUAACAACAAAAAAUGGCGACAAUCACGUUGCUCUGUGGGGUCUUGCUGCGUCAUUAAAAAUAUUCAUGUCAACACGGGGAGCGAAACGGGGGAAUCGCAGCAGAAGUUGCGUGAAUGCCCACGCCUGACACGGGCGUUUUUGAGCAGUGCCCUGUGCGGUGGGGUUAAUCGAGUUGUUUACAUGAAGUGCGGAGGGGCGGACGGAAGAAGACGAGGAGGAGGAGCUGUUACGUCGGCCCGCAACGCCAGCGGUCUGCUGGAGACGCUCCUUGCUACGGGAGGGGGGCGGAGCCCGCCGCCAGAAUCAUAACAAGUCUGACGUCACUCAGCCUUGUGGCUGCUAUGAAUAAUAUACAGUCAUUUGUCUGUAGGGUGAAAAACAUCACACGUCAUCAGUAUCGGUAUAGAAAAAUAAGCUUCAUUUUAAAAACUUUUGAAAACGUUUGUUCCCUCAACAUUGUGUUAUUAUAGUUUAAUGCAUAUUUUGGAGACAUAUAUUAUUUGCACCCUUUUAGUCAUUAUGAUUGUAAUUAAUCUCCCCAUAUUCUUAAUUACCAAUUAUAUUAGUAUAUUUCCACUCUUUGAUUUAGUUUUUUGAGUUUACAAAAAAGGAUCAAAUCUUACAGUUUUGAUGCUUAUUAGGGAAGAAGCAGUUCAACAAGUACAGAUUUAUACUGCAUUUUGUACUUUGGAGUCAUGGCAGUACGAAGGAGAAACUUGUUUGUCAUCGUGCAACUGGCAAAGUGGAUGAUUCAUAGAGGAAAUUCCUGGACUGCUAGAUUUGACAGGCUGCCCUGGUUCAGUUAUCACAGUGCUGAUGCUGUCCCCAUCGAAGGUACAGUACUGUGAUAACUGAAGGAUGGCUGCCAACUUGACACGGGCGCCGGGGGGAGGAGACCAAACAACAGCUGUAAGUAUGAAAGCAAAAUGUUUGUCACUGAUGUGUCUGGAUAAUAAACGGCUGAUGUGAAAAGUGCACGAGUCUUUAUUUUCAAAGGUAUUAAAAAAAUAUAAUUAUAUUCUCUAGCCUUAUUUUUACUCUGUAGGUCAGAAUAAUUUACACAUAUUUAAACAUCUAAAUGUAUUUAAAAAAGAUAAAAAUGGAACAUGGAAACUCCACACAACCCACCGGGAUUUGCACCUGGGACUUGAUGAUUACUCAUAAAGAAAAUGAACUUUUCCCCAGACUAAAGUUGAGAAUCAGCUUAAGUAGUCUUUAUUUAUGCAUAUCAAACUUAAUACUUUGCUGAUUUUGAUUUGUUGGUAAAAAAAAAAAA